GUAUUUAUUUUUGGCUCUCUAGCAAUAGGGGGCCAAAAGAUUUGAGGUGUCUCCUCUACCUAGUAGAGAGAGUACCUUUAAUAGUAUAGCCUCUUUUGUGGUAAAUUACUCUGCAGAACAGUAUUUGAAUGGAACUUUGUUUCUUUGAUGCCCAAUAUGCAGAUUGCCUAUAAAAAGGGGGUCCAUAACUCGAAAGUAACCCAGUUACUUGAA
rnacentral:misc_RNA from 1 species